rnacentral:rRNA from 1 species
ACACGUAAACAACCUGCCUUCAGGAUGGGGACAACAGACGGAAACGACUGCUAAUACCGAAUAAGUUCCAAGAGCCGCAUGGCCCAUGGAAGAAAAGGUGGCCUCUACCUGUAAGCUAUCGCCUGAAGAGGGGUUUGCGUCUGAUUAGCUGGUUGGCAGGGUAACGGCCUACCAAAGCGACGAUCAGUAGCCGGACUGAGAGGUUGAACGGCCACAUUGGGACUGAGACACGGCCCAGACUCCUACGGGAGGCAGCAUG